CGGCGAGCGAAAAGGGAGGAGCCCAGCGCCGAAUCCCCGACCCCCCGGUCGCGGGACAUGUGGCGUUUAGGAGUGAGCGUGCCGGGCUCGGAGCGGGCGGCAAGUCCCCCUGACCGGGGCCUGUCCACAGCGGGUGCGAGGCCCAUAGCCGCCCGUCCCGUCCCGGAUGCGACCUCCUUGGAGUCGGGUUGCUUGGGAGUGCAGCCCCAAUCGGGUGGUAAACUCCACCUAAGGCUAAAUACCGCCGUGAGACCGAUAGCAAACAAGUACCGUGAGGGAAAGUUGCAAAGAACUUUGAAGAGAGAGUUCAAGAGUACGUGAAACUGCUCAGAGGUAAACGGGUGGGCCCUCGAAAUCCUGUGGCGAGAGGAUUCAGUCUGGGGCGUGGGACCCGGAGCCGGAAGAGUCGGCAGGGCUUCCCGAGACCGGGUGCCGUCCGGCACCGGGACCUCCCCCGCACCAGACGCAUUUGUCUCUCGUCCGAAGGACGCUGCAGCCGGUCGGGCAGUGCAAGCGCGUCGGCCUGAAGGCGGGGAGCCGGCAGGUGGCCGGUGGCGUGCCUCGUGCGCGUCGCCGGUUGUUAGCCUUCCCCGCAGUGGCCCGACGCCCGACCGUGGUGUCGCGAGGCCCCCCUCGGGGCCUCGGCGUCUCCUCCCCAAGGGUUGCGGAACAGACGGUCGCAGGCGAGAUCCGCCGUCCCGCCGCACUCCCCCGGAGUGGGCGGGCGAACGGAGAGCGCCGCUGGUGGCCGCGGAUCCGCGGGGGACUGGAGGCUCGCAGCGAGUAGGUCGGUCACCCACCCGACCCGUCUUGAAACACGGACCAAGGAGUCUAACAUGUGCGCGAGUCAAUGGGUCUUGAACAGGCCCAGGGGCGCAAUGAAAGCGAAGGCCGGCCCCGCGCCGGCUGAGUCGGGAUCCCCCGGUCCGCCGGGGGCGCACCGACGACCCGUCCUACUCGGCUCGCCGUGUGGGCGGAGUCUGAGCGUACACGUUGGGACCCGAAAGAUGGUGAACUAUGCCCGGACAGGACGAGGCCAGAGGAAACUCUGGUGGAGGUCC
rnacentral:rRNA from 1 species